CUCUCUCAUUCUCAAACAAACCCUAGCCGCCGCCUCCUCCUCCCUCCUUCAGCGUGUCGCCGGCGGUCGUUGCAUUGCUCCACCAUCUUCAUCCUCUCCUUUUCAUCUGUAAUUAUACUCUAUCAAAUUUAUUUCAACUCAAAGAUGAUUUUAAAUUUCCCUACGACCAUCUUUUCGGCUAGAUCUUGACAUCCACGUACAAGCUUUUGAAAAUCCAUCACCAUAAAAAGAGUCCCCUCCAUCUUCUCUACAAAACCCAUUUAAAAAUAUCAGGAACGGACAACCUUCGCCGGUGACCACCACGCCGGAGCUUGCAACCACCGCGCCGGGAAAGAGCUUACGUGUUUUCAUCCCGAUCUGGGUCAGAAUUUUUACACAAACACUUAAACCUGGGCUGUUGUCUUCAUCAAGGUCAAGUUCUUUACAUAUUUUGUUUCCAUUACAUGCAACAACAACAAUACAAAUAUGAAAUUGGAUGUGAUUUUGUUUUAUUUCUAGAGAUGUAAAUUUUUUUUUGUAGAUGAAUCUUUUUUAGUUCCGAUGCUACUGAUAAAAAAGUCUGUUUUUUCAAUGAAUCUUUGAUAGAACAGAUUUUUUUUUUUUUUUACAGAUGAAUAAAAAUUUUAUUUGCAAAUCAAAAGAUUUUUUUUUUUUUCACUUUCAAUAUUCACUUUCUGUUAUUACUUGUUAUGAUUUAACAAAAAUUUCACUUAGAUUUUCUUGUAAUAUGACUCAAAUAAUAUUCAUUUCUUUCUAAAAAAAAUUCACUUUAUGCUAUUACUUUACUUGUUGUGGUUUAACUAAAAACAUAGUUUUUUUUUUUAUUUACAAAUGAAUAUAUUUUGUAUAUUUGCUUUUUUGUUGUUGAUAUAAUUUUAAAAUUGUGUUAGGACUGUUUUUGUUAAAUAUACAUGAUAUGAAGGUCAACAACAAAUGAAAUAAUUAAUGAUAUUAGGAAAAUGAAUUCUUAUACCUGCCGUGUUCUUCUUGUUGUCAAAGAGAGAAGAGGAAAAGGAAAAUGAGAGAGGAGAGACAGUUGAGAGAAUGAGAGAGAUAUUUUUUUUUUGAAAGAGAGUAUUAAAUUAUGAAAGAGUAGUGAAUGACAAUAUAAGAGUAUUUGAAAUUUGAAAUUGAAAAUUUGCCUCCAAUUGAUUGUAGAUCUGACAUUAGAUUAUAUCUUUUUUGUACAAAAGAAAACUUUUUUUGUUUUCCGUGUCAACCAAAAUCGGAUUUAUUUAGUUGGCAUCAAAUGGAAAUGACUUUAUGAAGAGCAAAUGAACUAAACUAUUAGUUAUUUGUAGUUACAUGACAUCAUCUUAGUUAAUUGUGGUAAUUUGGUUGAAUAAAGUAAGUUAAAGACAAAUUUUACCCUUACUUUGGUGAUUUGUCAAUUAACCAGGCUGGGGCAUUAAUAGGAUUUCCACAACAUCUUCUCUUCUUAUAUUAAGAGAGAAGAGAUAUUAAGAGAGAUUUCUGUUUCACAGGUACAGUUGGCAAGGUCUUUGAUAAAUGGCAACCACCGCUUGUUUCAUCAUUGUUAGCAGAAAUGAUAUUCCCAUUUAUGAAGCUGAAGUUGGAGUAGCUGCUAAAUUGAUUCUUGUUGGAAAUAUUGAAUUUUUUAAAAUGUGAUUAUAAAUUUGGUUUGUCACUCGUAGAUCAAUUUAAUUUGGCCAAUUUGAUUUUACAUUAUAAUUUGUUCACCUGGUUCAUUAUAAAUCAUAAUAGAAAAGAUGGUGGAAACUCGGCUUAGGUAGUUUGCACAUGUAGAGAGAAGACUUGUAGAUUCUGUAGUAAGGAGAGUAGCUCAGUUGGAGGGUAGUUAAAUCAUUAUAGACAUAUGAAGGCCUAGAAAAACUAUAAGAGAAACUUUUAAGAAUGAUCUAGAGAUUGAUGAGUUGGAUAGGGAUAUGAUAUAGAACAUUAUGGCAUGUCUUGAUCCAUGUAGCUGAUCCCACUUAGUGGGAUAAGGCUUGGUUGUUGAUAUUGUUGCAUUCAUGUAAAUGCUUAUAUUUUUCUUGCAUAACCUUAUUUUUGCGUGGCAUAGAAAACAAGGGAUCUUGUUUUCUUCACCAAUUUAAAAUUAUUUUGCAAUCUAAUGCCACUGUAUGACAGAGGGAGGAUGCUGCUCAGCUGCAUCAGUUCAUCCUGCAUGCAGCUCUUGAUGUUGUACAGGACCUUGCAUGGACUACUAGUGCUAUGUGAGUUACAUAUUCAGUUGAUAUGUAAUUCAAGUUCAAAUAUAAAACUUUGGUUUCAUGAUCGUCUCUUUUUGCCUCUUUUUUUUUUUUGUUUCCACGGCAUUUUAAUACUUAGCAUUCUCUUUGCAGGUACUUGAAAUCAGUAGAUCGGUUUAAUGAACUCGUGGUGUCCGUGUACGUCACAGCUGGUCAUAUCCUUUAUCAUAGAGAAUUAUUUUAUAUCUUAGAUAAAAGCUAUAUUGAUUUUCCAUAUUUUAGGUUUAGUCUUGUAUUUCUUAUAAUAAAUAGAGUUCUGAAAACCCAACUAUAAGAACCAUUUAAUUUAAUUUGCUUCUUUAAUGGGACGAUCAUGCCAUUGUGUUCCCCUACCCUCUCCCUGCCCUUCAUAGGAAGUGGAACAAAAUAAAAGAGCCAAGAGUGGACAAUGAUCAAAUCAAACCUUACAUCCACAUACCUCUUUAUGCAUUUUGUUUUUCUGUGAUAAUUUCCUUGACCUGUGGUAUACAUACCCGAUUUAUGUUGCUUC
rnacentral:lncRNA from 1 species